ensembl:lncRNA
GGUUAUUCUGUCCUUCUUGGGAAAAACAAAACGAUUGGAAAUCGUUCAUUUGGAAAUUAAUUGAGCAGAAGUGAAUAAAAUGCCUGCUGGGACAUCUGCGUCUCUCUGCUGGAUUCUACUCUCUGUCUGCCUCCUGUUUGCCUUUACAGAUACGAACCUCACAAAUGCAGAGUUACAGCCUACAAAUGGAGGAUCCCGGGAAGCGUGAAGGAGCUACCAGAAACAAAUCACAGCCAAGUCUGGACAGAACACCACUCUGCCAUGUCGAGUGCCAAACAUAAACAAGCCCAUUAUUGUUGUAGAGUGGAGCAGAGCUGACCUGGGAGAUGAAUAUGAAUAUGUUCUUUUCUACCGGGACAAGAAUUUUGAUACAGAAAACCAGCAUUCAUCGUUUGUGGAUCGGGCAGACCUGCAGGACGGACAGAUGAAGGAUGGAGACGUGUCUUUGAUUUUGAAGAAUGUGACGAUUAAUGACACUGGAAUAUAUGAGUGUCGUGUUGAGACAGAUACAAAUCUGCUUUUGUUGUUGUUGGGAGUUGUAUUGAUUUUAUGAUCAAUAGAAGAACAAAAAGAAAACAUCAAGAAAAAAACUUUAAGAAAAAUCAGGUCAAAAUUCAUAGCAUUAUAUUUAGUCACAAGAAAUUUCACUAAAUAUUCAGUUCAAAAGAAAUUUUGGGUGAUUUCAAGGAAAACAUGUCAUCCACUGAAAAUAACUGGAAACGUUAGUGAUGGAAAAUAUGUUAAAAUGAUCUAAUCUUAAGACAACUGCAAACUUCAAAGAUCAACACAUCAGAUUUAACCAGCUUGUUUAAACAGUCUGAUCACAUAUGUGACAGAUGGAUUUCAGCCUGAGAU